GUGCUUGCUUUGGCAGCACAUAUACUAAAAUUGGAACGAUACAGAGAUUAGCAUGGCCCCAGCGCAAGGAUGACACAAAGAUUCGUGAUGCAUUCCAUAUUCUU